AGUGCUACGCGUGAGUUGACCGCCUGGGGAGUACGGUCGCAAGAUUAAAACUCAAAGGAAUUGACGGGGACCCGCACAAGCGGUGGAUGAUGUGGAUUAAUUCGAUGCAACGCGAAAAACCUUACCUACCCUUGACAUGGUCGGAAUCCUNGAGAGAUCUGGGAGUGCUCGAAAGAGAACCGAUACACAGGUGCUGCAUGGCUGUCGUCAGCUCGUGUCGUGAGAUGUUGGGUUAAGUCCCGCAACGAGCGCAACCCUUGUCCUUAGUUGCUACGCAAGAGCACUCUAGGGAGACUGCCGGUGACAAACCGGAGGAAGGUGGGGAUGACGUCAAGUCCUCAUGGCCCUUAUGGGUAGGGCUUCACACGUCAUACAAUGGUCGGAACAGAGGGUCGCCAACCCGCGAGGGGGAGCUAAUCCCAGAAAACGGAUCGGAAUUCGGAUUGCACUCUGCAUCUCGAGUGCAUGAAGUUGGUAUCGAAAUGAAAUCCCAAA
rnacentral:rRNA from 1 species